UGAAUUUUAUUUGUUUAAGUAAGAAUUGUAUCCAUUUAUUUGAAAUGGAAUCGUGGUGCAGUUUGUUGCACCACAUAUCGCAUUGUGCAUUCGUUGAAAUCUGUUCACUACUUUUUAUUGCAACAUUGAUAUAUCAGAUUUCAACGAAUUGGCGCUAAAUCUACCACCUUACUUCAGUCUGUCUUGGUGAUUCCUUCUUGCUAUUGGGAGAGUGUUCGUGCUCAACACUAAAAACAUUACACGUUCGGUGUAAUUACUAAGCGCAAUUUCGGCGCAGUAGCAUUUGAUCCUGUCGAGCCGGAUUCACCAUCUCAGGAAAUGUAUUUUCGCUCGUCAUGAAGUCUUUUUGGCGCUAAUUUCUCACGGCCAUUGCAGGCAACCAAUCAUAAAUAUCACAGCGAAAUCAGCGCUGAGAACGUUUACACAGGACACAUUACAUACAGUACGGAACAAGACGCUUCACAGGGGUUCAUACACACAAGAUUCGUUUGCUUCUUGCCUGCCGAUUGGAUUUGGCACUCGGACGGACUCUUCUGGUUCUUCCCGAAAAAUUGUUGCUGACCGCCUACAAGUAUAUAUGUGGAGGGGCCAGAGUUUUUUUUAUUUGGUGGCAUUCCUUGGCGAGACCUUAAUCCAAAACAUACAUUGCAUUAAAGGCCCUUUAACGUGAAACACCGUACUUACUUCUGUUAUUGUCCCACACUAACAUCAAAUAAACCAGUCACACCAAACUCAAUAAA